GCGGGAGUAGGUCAGUUGGUAGAUCAAUGACGGGUCAACAAACCACGGUCCGUCAUGCGCGGCGCGGCGAUAACUCCCACGCCUCGUCGCCUACGGAGGUUCGAUUCCUCCCUCCCGCGCCA
rnacentral:tRNA from 1 species